rnacentral:snRNA from 1 species
UAUCUUUCUUCGAUCUCACAAUG